rfam:Gymnopus luxurians FD-317 M1 unplaced genomic scaffold GYMLTscaffold_113, whole genome shotgun sequence.
GGCGCUAUAGCCAAGUGGUUACGGCGACAGAUUCGAAUUAAUCUAACUUCGGUAUCUGUUCCUCUUUGAGGGCGCAGGUUCAAAUCCUGCUGGCGUCG